rnacentral:lncRNA from 10 species
AGGAGCCUGCCCUCUUGAGCUCUUGUGGUGACCUGGGAAUCAAUGUGUGAGGUGGUGCUAUGUAGCAGGAACCCCUCUUGCUUUGCAAAUAGUUUUUUGUUUGUUUUCCUUUUUGCCCAAUAGAGCCCUGCUCUACUGACCCUUCAAUGUGCCCGUGUGCCUAAAUAUUCCUGGUCGUGUGAAAAGAACCCAGGUAUUAGCUGAACUAAGGAGCACAAUUCUGCAACAUUUUGGCACCCAAACACGGGGCUUGAGAAAUGAAUGCAAUUGGAGAAACUGGUUGUUUUACCAGGCGUUGAUUGGAAAUGUGUGCUUCCCUUUAAGCAGUCAAGCUCAACUUGCAGAACUGAUGGGAACCCCUUGGGAAAACUGGCCUCAAAUGUUUGUCUACACAGUCCACAUACAGGGUUCUUAACCUGCGAUGAGGGAAACUUCCCAGGGCUUGUCUGGGUAUGCCCACAGUGGACUGGAGCCCAAAAUGCACACUGGAGGAAGUGGAUGGAGCCACGUGGAUGUCAUGCCUUAUGCAGGGGAGGAGCCUGCUCUCUUCAGCUCCUGUGGUAAUGUGGGAAUCGAUCUGUGAGCAUAUUUAACUAUCCGGCUAUUUUGGAGAUUGAAAAAAGAAGACCUGAUUUAUCAUGUGCAAUAUCUCACACAUCUGUCAUUUCUAUUCUACCGCAAUUCGGUGAGUUCAGCCUCUUUUUACUUCAUGUUUGAAUAAUCGCAAUAGAUUUUAUACUGUUCUCACUGCUAAACUUGCUCCCCCUAUUACCCUACAGACACUCAUAUUCAUCUUGCAUAAUACCACCAGAUUAUUCUUUGUCCAUCUAUUUUCCUAGAUAUUUGUCCUCCACUUUCCUGUCUUUUUUUCUGCACUUCAUUCUACCCAUCUUAGUGAAUAGACAUCUUUUCAACUCUCUCAGGCUAUAUAUACAUCAAUUUUUCAAAAUCCAAGUAAAACUUCACGUCCUUGAGAGAAUUUUAGAGAGCGUGUAAUACCUACAUUUUUUUUUACCAUUUAUUAGGAAUAUAUCUCAGCCCCAGUUAUGUGAUUAUUACAUAUUAUAGUAUAUUAAUGUUUGCAAACUCCUUGUAAAAUCAUACACACCCCAUACUGCUAUAUUCAUUUCAAUAGCAAAACAGUUUCUUUUCAAUUUUGUAAUAAAUAUAUUAAGAUCCUGUCCUCCUCCAGGCCAAUUUUCUUCCCCUAUAUUUAAAGUGCUCUGAUGGAGGUAACUUAUUAAUAAUUUGAGCCUAAAACAGCUUUUCAAAUAUGCAUUUCAUUUUUGCACACCAAGCUGGUGUGUGCCUGCAGGCGCUAUUUCUAUUAAGUGAACAGCUGGAUAUUGUGUAGUGGAUUGACCAGGUGUUUGAGUGAACUCAUUAGUCACCAUAUAGAAGCAACUUAAAAGAAUGAGUCACAGUGAUAGUCAUCUCACUUUGGGAAAAGGAAAAGAAAUAAAUAAAAAUGUUUCAUAUCUAUCAGACAGCCACAAAGCACAGUCCCUAUCAACAGGAGCAAAUUCAAAUAAAAAUGGCCCCACCAUACAUAUUUUAUUUGAUUUACAUCUAGCACUGAAGAUAUACUUUAUGAAUUUUUCCUUUAUUCUGACAGUCAUAAAAUAAACGGAGGUGAAUCAUAUAACUUUUGAAUAUCUACAUAGCCAGAGAUAAACUCUGCAUAUUAAAUAUCUUCCAAUAUUACAUCUACCAAAAAACAUAGCAGAGGUCAUAUUUAUGUUGCAACUGAGAAAACACUCAAAUUAUUUAAAGAGAAAAUUUAAAUACUUUACUAAAAUUCACAUUAAAUUCUGAAUUUUACAUGGGUUUAUGUGGCUCUACCAUUCAUACUGUUGAACUUCUGAGUUAUUAAUAUUUACAAAUAACCCAUGUUCUUUCAAAUGAUUCCAAUGCUUACAGAAACACAUAUAAAAGUACAUACAAUGAAAUAAAACUGUGGCAAUGUAGAAAAAUGAAAACUAUAAUAUGACAACGCAAUGAAGCCAGAGUUAAUGUGAGCACAUGAAAUGAAAUCCUAACAUUUUCUCUUCAGCUUUGUCUCUGUGUCUUACUAUGCUAAUGUAGGUAAUAAGCAGUAUUGAUAGCUGGAAGAAGUAAAUUAGCACAUGAAAAGAACCUUGAUUAUUAUUUGUGCAAUUCCUGGAGUCCACUGAUACUUACCAACUCUUAAAGCUUAGAUCUAGGGUAUCCAAACACUGCUUCCUUUCCAAGAAGGAAACAUACAAAAAAACUAAGGCAGCAUGCUCUAAUUCUUUUUUUCUUUUUUUUCUUUUUUAGAUGGAGUCUUGUUCUGUGGUCCAGGCUAGAGGGCAGUGGCAUGAUCUCGGCUCACUACAAGCUCUGCCUCCCGGGUUCACGCCAUUCUCCUGCCUCAGCCUCCUGAGUAGCUGGGACUACAGGCGCCCGCCACCACGCCUGGCUAAUUUUUUGUAUAUUUACUAGAGAUGGCUAGUGUUAGCCAAGAUGGUCUCGAUCUCCUGACCUCGUGAUCUGCCCACCUCAGCCUGCCAAAGUGCUGGGAUUACUGGCGUGAGCCACCGUGCCUGGCCAGCAUCCUCUAAUUAUUAUUCAUAGUUUGUGAAUUUAGGCCUACGUGAAUAAUAAUAUAAUAUUUACUAUGAUGUUACUAUCUACCAACCUUAUUUUUCUUUUCUAUAAAAUAGGAGCCAAAAUAAUAUUUAUGUCAUACCUUAUGAAGUUAAAAUAAAAUAUAACGAAUGAGGGGCUUAACAAUGAGUGUCAUUUUGUAAUUACUUUGUACCAUUAUUAAUUGCUGAGACAGAAUAUGGUAUCACUAGUCAUCUGUAUCUAUUGCACAACUUUAUUUUGAUUCAUUCCUUACUAUUUUGCAUAGAUAGGCCUAAAUUUUUGAUCCACUGCUCAACUCCUGUCUUUAAACCAUUGGUUCUCAAAUAGAGUUGAUUUUGACACCUAGGGAACAUUUGACAACAUAUGGAGAUAUUGUUGAUUUUACAGGGCAACCCUUCAUAAGCACAGAAUUAUCUGGCCCCAAAUGUCGACAGUGUCAAGUUCGAGAAACUCUGCACUAGGCUUUUCUGUCUGGUUACUCACCCCUCUUCUUUGCACUGCCCCCAGUUUUAUGGAUAUUGAAUUCCUGAUUUCUCACUAUAUUAAUUGCACUUAUAGAUAUUCUAAAUUGAUUUGUAUAUAUCUUCCUAGUUUGACCCAUUGCUUUUAACUGAAUUUUACUGGGCUUUUAUAAAGGCCAUUUCCAUGGAGUUUAGUCAUUAUCUUCACCAAAUUUUUAUUUGCUUCAGUCUGGGGAGGAACUCUAUAUUAAAAAAUAAAAACAAACCCAAAAACUAAUUUAUGAAAGACAUUUUAUAAUGUAAUUACUUAAACAUUUUUUUUCUUCUUUCUCAUACGAUCUUUUAAAUUCAGUGAGUGACAUGUGGUUUUCAGGCUGGGUCAGGAAGUUUGCUUGGACGGGGAAAUUCUGUCUGCUGAGACACUAGGGGAGCAAAUGCCUAUGUGGGCACAGGCUGGUCACUGACCUCCUAGGGUUCCCUGACAAUAAAUUAGUCCUAGUUGAGGUCGCCAUCAUCAGAACUUAAUUGGUCCCUGGUACUGGUGAAUCUCUGCACCACAGAGACUAAUCAGUUACAGAACUCAGCUUCUGGGCAUAGGCAACCUUUUCUGUUUUUUCAAUUUUUUGUCAGCAAAGUUGAGAAAAUGAACACACUCAAACAGCCCAUUUCUUAGCUUAUCAAUAUCCGUACCCACUUCUUUCCCUCAUCAACAUGUAUUUUCCAUAUUUUGUUGGUAUUAACCUCUGACACUCAUCCACACAAGAAAGUCUACAAAGCCUAAACUAACUUUUAAACAUUAUUUAAGGUAAUAGCUUUGUCUUCCACCAGAAACCUGGCGACAUUUUUAAAAGGAUUUGAAGAGAUAUAUACCCGAGGGACAGAGAGAAAAAUUAGUGCUGACCAGUCUGGGCCUACUUGACUAACACAAAAUAGAUUAAAUUAAUAAAAACAAGAUGUUCUGCAUUUAUAAACAUGUUAACUCUUUUUAAUGUGUAUGACUCAUUAAUGAGUUCAUAAUUAGAUUUUGAAGGAUUUCAUUCUGGACCUUGCAGAUUGUAUGUAUCUUUCUGGUAAAUUAGGAAGUAUAAUUUUUCAAUAAAAAAGCUCACUGGAAACCCCUGUAACAAGUAAUAAAUAUUUAAAAUUUGCAGAAAUGUUUACUUAUUCAAUAAAUACUGACUCCACAUUAAGAAAUGCUAGAGAUAAAGCAUUUCUAAAGGCAAAUUCUACUGUUUCCUGGUUUUACAUUCUAGAUUUUAAGACAAAGAUGGCUGCCUUGAAAUUUUAGUUAUGUGAAAGAAAUUUCGUAAUGAUAUAACUUUUUCUUACUCUGACUCUGUGAGACUUUUGUUUAUAUUUUAUGAAACUAUUUCUAUAGCACAUGUUAUAUAAAUAUAUUUGAGAAAUCAUUUUUAGCUUUCAGAAAUUAGUUUGCUUAAUACAUUUUAAUUUUAAUAAAGCUCCAUUCCUCUAGUCCUUUCAUAUCUGGAAUAUAUUUCCUAUACAAUAUCUUCUAUAUUAUUUAAUACUGCUGUUUUUUAAAAGAGAAAUUGAAACCUUUUACUCAUAUAUACCAGACUUCCAAAACUGUCUUGGUUUGAAAAUCAGUUCUCCAAAAUACUUUCUCUAACUUAACUUUAUAUCUUAGGUGCAAAUACAAUCCUGAUAAAUACUAUAGUCAGGCAUUUUAAAAACUUUAUGUUUCCCAUAUACUCAGCAGAGUAUCAUCUUCUUGCCCUUUCCCUCACUAUGGUAUCCUUCAAGAACUUAUUAGCUCAAAUUCCAAAUCCUCAAUGAAACAAUCAUCUAUCAAUUUCAUAAUUCACUGUUUUAUUCAAUAAAUAUUUAGUGAAUGAUUUCUGUGUGUCAGGAGUGUAUUGGGAGCUUGGGGACAAAGUGGUGGGCUAGAUAGGCAU